CAGCAUAACCAUACUUCGAUGUGCUGUACUUCCUGUGAACCCCAGUAAGCUUCCCAGUUGCAGCCUUCUGAUGGAAAGUUACCAUCAUUCUAGAGCAUUCCCUGCAGAAACCGGAGAAAAUGAGAUAUCAGUCACAAAGGAGGUCUUGCUCCACUCUCUGAACCUGGAAAUAGCACACUGAGCUGUGUAGACAGCGGCAGCAGCUAAUAAAGAUGGUGGGAACUUGAGCAUCUCGUACUCGACCAGGCAAAGCUCGAUUAUGAAGAAGGAGAGAAGUUCAAGCUGUUCACAUCAAAUAAAGUGAGAUGAGUACAUAUUAUUCCGCUCUACGAUCAAAACAGAACAAUCUCAUUAUUAUUGUCAACCUUCUUGUCUGAUUGAGCAGCUUUAAGGAACCUCCUCAUGAAAACAUAUGGAGUAGGAACCGACAUAUUGAAUUGCAAUGUGUUCACCAUUAGCCUC